AGCUAUUAAGAGAGCCUGAUAAACCCAAAGAGAGGCAGGAGGCUUGAAAUCUGGAUGCGUAUAGAUGGAAAAUCUUAAAGUUGAAUGAAUGGAAACAGCAAUGCUAUAUGCGAAUGCAUCACCAACGAAAUGCAUACCCAUUGUAAUCAUUGCCAAUAAAAGUUCUACAGGUGCUUCGUCAACUUUGAGUGUUCCUCGAUGCAGGAAAGGCCACCGGGGGUGAAAAUCCUUCCAAUAAUGAGCAAUCCAUAAGUUCACCCUACUGCGAGUUAUAUAUUGCAACGCCUCUUCAGAAAGUUGAUAAUUAUUAUUCAUUACUUGUAUUAAAGAUGAAUAUGCGGAAAGUGAUAGUAGGUCUUUAGCAACUAGUUUGUCGUCAACUCUAAAAUGCGAACUAAGAAAAUCAAUGGUCGGUGAAUCUAAAACUGGCAUUAAAUUCAAUUGCUUUGCAUUGAUACCAUCGGUGAAAUUUGAAACUGAUUCUGUUGGGGCAUCUUUCUCCAUGUUAUCAAAAAGCCAGCACACGAAGUUAUCUGUAUUUUGCUGGUAAGCAUUAAACGGUGAUGUUCCAAAAAUAGAUAUGGAAUCUUGAGGAGACAAUGACUUAUUAGCAUUGUUUUUUAUUGAAGGGGUUGAUAAAAACUUGUUUUGCAAGUUAAUUUGCUGGUCGCUUUCAGGAAUGGUAAUCGAGCCUGAAAUGGAGUUAUUUCGACGACUAGUGGUAAACAUGUAAUUGUUUCCCGUCUGUGCAAUGGCAGAUUGUAGACCUUCAUUGAAAUUAUCGGAAAUUAUGGGCUGGUCAGGUAAUAUGGGUUGAUCGAUAUGGCUUUUGAGGUCUGUAUAAGCAGCAUCCUGAACGUCGGCUUCGACAUAUGAGGGAAAAGGUAAUUCUUGAUCGGAAGAUGAAAUAAGUGUCUUAUCAUGUUUAGGAUGCGUUUGGCUGCCAGCAUCGUUCUGCUUUACAUGCUUUUGGUUAACAUGUCGAUUUAGCACAUCGCUCCUUGUAAACGAACUGGAGCAGUGAGGGCAAAUAAAGGCUUUCGAGUUGGUAU